rnacentral:rRNA from 1 species
UACGUAGGGGGCAAGCGUUGUCCGGAAUCAUUGGGCGUAAAGAGCGUGUAGGCGGCCCGGUAAGUCCGCUGUGAAAGUCCAGGGCUCAACCCUGGGAUGCCGGUGGAUACUGUCGGGCUCGAGUCCGGAAGAGGAGUGUGGAAUUCCUGGUGUAGCGGUGAAAUGCGCAGAUAUCAGGAGGAACAUCAAUGGCGAAGGCAGCACUCUGGGACGUGACUGACGCUGAGACGCGAAAGCGUGGGGAGCAAACAGG